UUGCACGCUGGCGGCAGGCCUAACCCCUGCCAGUCGAGCGGAUGAAGGGAGCUUGCUCCUGGAUUCAGCGGCGGACGGGUGAGUAAUGCCUAGGAAUCUGCCUGGUAGUGGGGGAUAACGUCCGGAAACGGGCGCUAAUACCGCAUACGUCCUGAGGGGGAAAGGGGGGGAUCUUCGGACCUCACGCUAUCAGAUGAGCCUAGGUCGGAUUAGCUAGUUGGUGGGGUAAAGGCCUACCAAGGCGACGAUCCGUAACUGGUCUGAGAGGAUGAUCAGUCACACUGGAACUGAGACACGGUCCAGACUCCUACGGGAGGCAGCAGUGGGGAAUAUUGGACAAUGGGCGAAAGCCUGAUCCAGCCAUGCCGCGUGUGUGAAGAAGGUCUUCGGAUUGUAAAGCACUUUAAGUUGGGAGGAAGGGCAGUAAGUUAAUACCUUGCUGUUUUGACGUUACCAACAGAAUAAGCACCGGCUAACUUCGUG
rnacentral:rRNA from 1 species